GGGGUUGUGACUCAAUGGUAGAGCACUUGCCAAGCAUGUGCCAGGCUCUGGGUUCGAUCCUCAGCACCACA
rnacentral:tRNA from 1 species